GUACACCCGACGAAUGACGUCCCAUCACCAGUUCGAUUUCCCACAAAACCCUAAAUCUCAUAUUUCCUUUUCUCUAAUUGAAGGAAGUACAUCAAUGGCAGGGUUCCAGCCUCCCAGCCCAAUUUCAAACUCUCUCUGCCUCUGCCUCCUCCCACUCCACAGUACUUUUCGAUCCGACUCGGAACAGUGAAGAAUGGUUGCUAUUGCACAUCAGAUUCGCUACAGCGAUAGUAGUCCUCAUGAUCCUCUUUGUUGCUCUCUUUGUUAAGCUAUGCAAGUGUGGACGGAGUAGCAGAAGCCAAAGCGAUAUCGAACUUCAGUCUACCUCUGAAUAUAUGAACUGACUGAGGCUUUGGCAUAGCCUCGUUCCAUGUUGAGCUCUGGUGCAAUUCAUAAUUAUGCAUUUCUUGUAGGUUCCAUGCUCUGAUCUAAUUUAGUCAGGUCAGUUUAAAAACCUGAGCCUAAUAUGGUUGCAACUUCUAUAAGGUGUAUAUUAUUCUGUACUGUAUUGUUCCUGUUCAGUUAUAUAUGUACUGUAUUUACGUAUUUUAAUGAUUGAAGAAUAUGGUGUGGUUUCGUUUGUGCUUGAUAUGAUUGGUACA